rnacentral:rRNA from 1 species
AAUAGAUACCCUGGUAGUCCACGCCGUAAACGAUGAGCACUAGUUAUUGGGGGUAUUGACUCCCUCAGUGACGCAGCUAACGCAUUAAGUGCUCCGCCUGGGGAGUACGGUCGCAAGACUAAAACUCAAACAAAUUGACGGGGGCCCGCACAAGCGGUGGAUUAUGUGGUUUAAUUCGAAGCAACGCGCAGAACCUUACCUAGGCUUGAACUCCUCAGAAUCCGGGGUAAUGCCUGGAGUGCCCGCAAGGGAAUUGAGUGAGAGGUGCUGCAUGGCUGUCGUCAGCUCGUGUUGUGAAAUGUUGGGUUAAGUCUCGCAACGAGCGCAACCCCUAUCGUCUGUUGCCAGCAUUAAGUUGGGCACUCUGACGAGACUGCCUGGGUUAACCAGGAGGAAGGUGGGGAUGACGUCAAGUCCUCAUGGCCCUUAUGUCUAGGGCUACACACGUAAUACAAUGGCGCGUACAAAGGGAAGCGAACUCGCAAGGGGGAGCAAAUCUCAAAAAGCGCGCCUCAGUUCGGAUUGG